rnacentral:rRNA from 1 species
AUACGUAGGAUGCAAGCGUUGUCCGGAAUUACUGGGCGUAAAGGGUCCGUAGGCGGUUUGUUAAGUCUCCUGUGAAAGUUCAGGGCUCAACCCUGAAAUGUCGGGGGAUACUGGCAAACUUGAGACUGUCAGAGGCAAGUGGAAUUCCCGGUGUAGUGGUGAAAUGCGUAGAUAUCGGGAGGAACACCAGUGGCGAAAGCGGCUUGCUGGGACAGUUCUGACGCUGAGGGACGAAAGCGUGGGUAGCAAACCGGAUUAGAAACCCGAGUAGUCC